CUUGGAAGAAGCUUGAUCAACCAAGACACACUUGCCACAAUUCAAGCCAUCUCAGCUCCAAGAUAGACAUCAAAUGAGCAAGUAACAUAUGUGUGCUCUUUUUCCCUAUCUUUGGUUUUGUCCCACUGGGUUUUCCAAAGAUAGGUUUUUAAUGAGGCCAUAUGUUGCUUUCCUAUCACUCAUUUGAUGAUCUCAGUUCAAGACUUUAUUUUAAUUAUUUAUCUUUGAUAACAUGAAGCAGAAUUGGGCUCCUAGACUUGAGAAUUAGGCUGCUAGACUUGAGAAUUAAGCUGCCAGACUUGAGAACCCUUAUAAGGUUUUAUAAGGUUUUUAUAAGGUUUUAUAAGGUUUAUUUUUAAGGC